rnacentral:misc_RNA from 1 species
AAAAUUCUCAUGGGGACUGGCAAAAAUUUUCCUAAGUAGUAUUUUUGGAUUUUGUCAUACUGUAGCAUGCAGUCAACUGCAUGAAUGUUUGCUAUCAUCUUUAACUUAACACUGAAAAAUGCUUGUCUUGUAUGUCUGUCGUACUUGCUCUGUGUGUGCAGUACUCAUGUCUUUGUUUGUGUAUAUGCGUGUGAAUUUCUACAUGCACACAUGGCUCUGUUAUAUACCGACGUACAAGAUGAAAUUUUGG